AACUGCCGUGCCUGUUUGCCAACGCCCAAUCUCAUCAGAUCCUCAAAGCUAAGCAAGGCCGGGCCUGGUUAGUAUUUGGAUGGGAGACCACUGAGAACACCAGGUGCCACAGUGG
rnacentral:rRNA from 1 species